GCCGGGUAGUUCAAUUGGGAGAACAUCGGUUUUUGAUGCCGAAUGCGCUGGAUCGAAACCAGCCCCGGUUA
rnacentral:tRNA from 1 species